rnacentral:pre_miRNA from 1 species
AUGAGAUGGAAUCAACGUUUGGACAUGCAAUUUCACACUAAUUCCAUCUCAUGA